UGGGAGUUGUCGGUAGACGGAGCAUGCAUAAGGUCAGUAGGAGAUUAGUCUUAAACCGACUUGUAGGAGUAAUCCGACUUUGGCCAAAAUAAGGUCCUGAUUUUAAUCGGGAUUUCUCUGGCAAUACGUAGAUAAAUAUAACGAGGCAAGCAUCUAGUGGGAUGUACCUUUUGCAUUUUCAGAAUUGUGCCCCUCGUAGCGGAGUGGGUUGCCUUAUUUCCUCGCCGACUUUCGGAGUCAUUCUUUGACUUUCGGAGAGCUCGGGCUUCUUAUGAACCCGAUGGCGCCCGCCGAGGUUGAGGGGGUUUGGGGAUGCUCCAUCAAUCUGCGACACU
rnacentral:lncRNA from 1 species